rnacentral:rRNA from 1 species
GAUGAACGCUGGCGGCGUGCCUAAUACAUGCAAGUCGAGCGAACAGACGAGGAGCUUGCUCCUCUGACGUUAGCGGCGGACGGGUGAGUAACACGUGGAUAACCUACCUAUAAGACUGGGAUAACUUCGGGAAACCGGAGCUAAUACCGGAUAAUAUAUUGAACCGCAUGGUUCAAUAGUGAAAGACGGUUUUGCUGUCACUUAUAGAUGGAUCCGCGCCGCAUUAGCUAGUUGGUAAGGUAACGGCUUACCAAGGCAACGAUGCGUAGCCGACCUGAGAGGGUGAUCGGCCACGCUGGAACUGAGACACGGUCCAGACUCCUACGGGAGGCAGCAGUAGGGAAUCUUCCGAAAUGGGCGAAAGCUUGACGGAGCAACGCCGCGUGAGUGAUGAAGGUCUUCGGAUCGUAAAACUCUGUUAUUAGGGAAGAACAAAUGUGUAAGUAACUAUGCACGUCUUGACGGUACCUAAUCAGAAAGCCACGGCUAACUACGUG